CCUACGGGAGACAGCAGUGAGGAAUAUUGGUCAAUGGGCGAGAGCCUGAACCAGCAAAGUCGCGUGAGGGAGUACUGCCCUAUGGGUUGUAAACCUCUUUUGUCGGGGAGCAAAAGCCGGACGUGUCCGGCUGUGAGAGUACCCGAAGAAAAAGCAUAGGCUAACGCCGUGCCAGCAGCCGCGGUAAUACGGAGGAUGCGAGCGUUAUCCGGAUUUAUUGGGGUGACAGGGUGCGCAGGCGGAUUUUUAAGUCAGCGGUCAAAUCGUGGGGCUCAACCCCAUCCAGCCGUUGAAACUGGGGAUCUAGAGUGUGCGAGAGGUAUGCGGAAUGCGUGGUGUAGCGGUGAAAUGCAUAGAUAUCACGCAGAACCCCGAUUGCGAAUGCAGCAUACCGGUGCACAACUGACGCUCAGGCACGAAAGCGUGGGUAUCGAACAGGAUUAGAUACCCGAGUAGUC
rnacentral:rRNA from 1 species